rnacentral:tRNA from 1 species
ACCGCCGUCGUCCGGGGCGACCUGGCGCUCGCGGCGGCGGAGCCCGGCGAGACGCUGCUGGUGGUCGCGCUGGACGGCCCGGCGGUCC